UUACGGCCAUAUCACAGUGAAAAACUGGUUCUCGUCCGACCACCGAAGUUAAGCAAUACAAAGCCUGGUCAGUACUCAGAUGGGUGACUGUUUGGGAAUAUCU